CGGAGGAAAAGAAACCAACAGGGAUUGCCUCAGUAGCGGCGAGUGAAGCGGCAAAAGCUCAAAUUUGAAAUCUGGCGUCUUUGGCGUCCGAGUUGUAAUUUGAAGAAGGUAUCUUUGGGCCCGGCUCUUGUCUAUGUUCCUUGGAACAGGACGUCACAGAGGGUGAGAAUCCCGUGCGAUGAGAUGACCCGGGUCUGUGUAAAGUUCCUUCGACGAGUCGAGUUGUUUGGGAAUGCAGCUCUAAGUGGGUGGUAAAUUCCAUCUAAAGCUAAAUAUUGGCGAGAGACCGAUAGCGAACAAGUACAGUGAUGGAAAGAUGAAAAGAACUUUGAAAAGAGAGUGAAAAAGUACGUGAAAUUGUUGAAAGGGAAGGGCUUGAGAUCAGACUUGGUAUUUUGCAUGCUGCUCUCUCGGGGGCGGCCGCUGCGGUUUACCGGGCCAGCAUCGGUUUGGAGCGGCAGGAUAAUGGCGGAGGAAUGUGGCACGGCUUCUGCUGUGUGUUAUAGCCUCUGACGAUACUGCCAGCCUAGACCGAGGACUGCGGUUUUUACCUAGGAUGUUGGCAUAAUGAUCUUAAGUCGCCCGUCUUG
rnacentral:rRNA from 1 species